rnacentral:sRNA from 1 species
UGUCUUAAGAGUGAUGAGCUCACUUGA